GUCGAGUAGUUUGGGAAUGCUGCUCUAAACGGGAGGUAUAUGUCUUCUAAAGCUAAAUACCGGCCAGAGACCGAUAGCGCACAAGUAGAGUGAUCGAAAGAUGAAAAGCACUUUGAAAAGAGGGUUAAACAGUACGUGAAAUUGUUGAAAGGGAAGCGCUCGCGACCAGACUUGGGCGCGGCGAAUCAUCCGGCGUUCUCGCCGGUGCGCUUCGCCGGGCCCAGGCCAGCAUCGGUUCGCCCGCGGGGGACAAAGGCCCCGGGAACGUGGCUCCCCAGGGAGUGUUAUAGCCCGCUGCGCAAUGCCCCGCGGCGGACCGAGGUUCGCGCAUUCUCCGCAAGGAUGCUGGCGUAAUGGUCAUCAGCGACCCGUCUUGAAACACGGACCAAGGAGUCGUCUUCGUAUGCGAGUGUUCGGGCGUGAAACCCCCUACGCGGAAUGAAAGUGAACGCGGGUGAGAGCCCCCCCUCCCCUCGCGGGCGGGGGGGCGCAUCAUCGACCGAUCCUGAUGUCCUCGGAUGGAUUUGAGUAGGAGCAUACGGGGCCGGACCCGAAAGAAGGUGAACUAUGCCUGUGUAGGGUGAAGCCAGAGGAAACUCUGGUGGAGGCUCGCAGCGGUUCUGACGUGCAAAUCGAUCGUCAAACAUGGGCAUGGGGGCGAAAGACUAAUCGAACCUUCUAGUAGCUGGUUUCCGCCGAAGUUUCCCUCAGGAUAGCAGUGUUGAG
rnacentral:rRNA from 1 species